GUGGCAACACAGAUAUUUUCUCUAAGCGACAUUUCUUGACUUCAGUCUUCUUACUUUAUUAGGACAUUUGUCUGGGAAAAAGAACGGCACACGACAUGCAGGACAGACCGGAGUGUCUGCCCUGCUGUCUGUGCUACAAAAAAAAAGACUGACUUCUGUCUGGACAGGGUGACAUACAACGAAAAAAAGGUACUCCUGAGACUGUUCUUGAAACUGCAGGAGCAGGGCUCAGUUAACUCCUACAUAACAGUGGAGGAUGUCACGGAGUGGUUUUUCCGCCAUGAGAGGAAGAUGUUUAAGGAGUGGUUCCCCCUGAAUUAAAGGAGUCGUGUGAUGACAAAACCUGGCUGACCUGGCAGGUGAAUGCUCAUCUCAGGAUGCAGGACAUUGAACAUGAGGUCAGGAGAGAGCUGUUAGUCAAACAUCUGUCGAGUGUCUCUCGUGAGGGUGAUGAGCUGCAGGACUGUGACCAACGUAUCCCCUCAGCUCCUUCUGAUCUAGAUUCACCUGAGAGUGCAAUUGUUGACAAUCACAAGACCCCAGAUGACCUCAAGAUGCCACUUGUGAAAAGGAUCUUGAGUGACCUUGAACUGGAGCUGGAAUACUACAAGUGCUCCCGUCUGCACACCUGGUUGGAGGUAGUUGCAGACGUUGUCACCCGACUUUUCUUUGUUAUGAAGACAGCCCCCUGUGACACUCCUUACAAUGGGUCCUUCAUGCAACUUACGGAACUGGCUGUGAAUAUUGUCCGUGCAGUGCUCGUGAACCUAUCCUCACUUUUACCAAUCUCAAGCCUACAAGCGCAGUACUCCCGUCCAACUGCUGCUAGGAUGA